rnacentral:lncRNA from 1 species
UGUUUAUCCAUUCAUUAAUAGACAGAAUAGUAACUUUUAAGUAUUAAAAUUGAAAGUUAAACACUAGUGUAUCCACAGUUAAAGUGGGUAACACCAAGAUUAUACAUAAUAUGAGCAAAAUGCUGUAUAGAAAGGAACAUAAAUUAAUCAUGUUUUUGUUUAAGUGUGAUGUUUUUCUAAAGGCCAUUUUAGCUUGAUUUUAAGAAAUACAUGAAUGUACUAUGUUCAUCAAUAAGUUAUUCAUUUGAAAUUUGAGAACAUUAGACAAAUAGAGAUUGUGUGUCAUGUGUUUAUGAUCAUAUUUUGAAUUUAUCUCAUCAUUAUUUGAGAGAAACAUAUAAAGGAAAGGAAAUGAGUAUAAAUGAGUCAACAUGACUUAAAAUAAUUUUUGUAACAGCAAAUAUUACAUUUUAAUAUCACGUAAAAUUAUAUCUUUAUAGGGGACUUUUCUUCAACGGAGGACUUCUGGAAGGGUCUGCUGUGCAUUUCCCAAUAUAGAAGUAGGCUAUGGUGAGUUGAAGUGACUGUUCUACCUUAAAGGAGUGGUUCAGUACCAGCUAUAGAAAAUCCUGCAGGUGCUUGACAACAAAUUGGGUCUUUCAUACAUUACUUACUUAAUCUCCAUAGCAAUGUUGCAAGUGCCUAAAAAGCAUAAACACACCCUCGAUCUGUGCUGCUUUGCUGAUUAGCUGCCUCCUCCCACAUCGUUGAUAAGAGAGAUUUGUACAACUCCUGUGUGCCAGGCCCUGGUCAAAGCUGAUGGUCUCUCCUCUCCCUCACAGACUGCCUCUAAGCUCUUCAGAUUCAUGAAUUUUAACAAGUCCAUGAGCCAGCUCUCAACCAUGUCAUGAUGUGCCAAAAAAACCUGAUGUUCUUCACUGUUUCCUUGGCAUAUGCCCAGUUGGCAUUCAGUUGGAUGACUUAGGUACCUUCCAGGUAUAUGAAAGUCUGAAACAGUAGUCACAGAACAUGACGUGGAAUGAAUUCAGAAAUUGAACAUGAUUGUCAGCACAUGAAAGGUGCCUCAGGGAGAGUGCAGUGUGGUCGGAAACAAGGACAGAGGCAUGGAGCACACCACUGGCAGCAUGGUGUCCCAAAGUCAGGUGUUGAUCAUGGAGCUGCCAAACAGAAGAGACAUGAGUUAUGACUGACAAGUGGUGACUGUGAGAUGCACAGGGAACAGAUGGAGCAGCUGGUGCGGUGGAUUUGCCAUAACAAGUACAUUACUUAUGUCUGGUUUAUCAUACGAUGCUGGUCUUUAUAACUAAUCAUUAACCUUCUACACUAUUUUCCAUAAGCUUUACCCAUGGAUGAAAGAUUUUUUAACUUUUCCUCACAUGAUAGAUCUAGACUUUGAAAUAUUGAACUAAGGGGAAAAAACCUGGAAAGUAUGUUGAGAAGUACGCACAAUUGCUGCCCUGCCUAACUCUUCAGGUGACAAGUAGCUUUCUAAAGCUUGGAACUGUCAAAGGACUUCUGAGUAUGCUUCCAGCCACAAGUCAGUGCUGACAUCUUAACCAGUGUGUGGAGGAGGAGAGCAUUGGUUUCCACACUGAGGCAGCUCUGUGGUGGUUGUUCCUCUCAGGUACCCUCUACUGGUAAACUUGAACUAUACUGACAGACCAUAGCACAGCUAUGUCCCCAUUGUGCUGGAGUUUGUAUGAAUAGUUAGGAUGUUAAUACUACAUUUUUUUGCCUUCUUUCUCAUAGCUAAUGUCUAUGGAACUAGCUGUAUUACUUGUUUUUUGUUUUGUUUUUUAUUGUUAUAGCUCUGUUAAAUGGCCCCCCAAAUUUCCAGAUAGUAUCCCUAACUGCAACAGAAGAAUUUUAUGGAUCCUUAACUCACAAUAAGUUUGACUUUCAACAAUUUGUUCAGUGUGAAUAUUUUUAUGUCUUUUUCAUGCUUCCACUUACUUGAAACUCAGUUUAUUCUUAAAAACUGUCUAGUAGAACCAGCUUAUUAAGUGUUACUUUGGUAUGCAGUGAAAUGGUCAAUUAAGCAAUAUUGAAGAAAGAUACUUUGACUGUUUUGAAAUUUAUUAUGAAUCAUAAAACAAAAAUCAUUUCAUAGUAUUUCAGAGAUAAAGUCUCAACUGUUCUUAGUCCAGUAUGUCAGUAGAAUUUAUAGUGCAAAUAAAAUUUGCUUAAUUAAAAGAUUUUUUUUGAAAGUCCGUCUAUUAUCAGAAAGCACCAGGAAGAAGUUGUAUUAGUAGCUGCUGUUUUCAUUGGAAGAGUUUUUCAUUAAAUUUCUGUGUAAAAUCUAUUCUUAAUAAGAGAUUUUGUUUGUUUUCCAAACAUACUAUAUAGUAUGAUCUUUUGCAAUCGAAAUGGAUAAGGAAGAAACGAGUGAGGGCUGGUGAUGGUCUUAUAACCACUACAGAAACUCUGUGUUUAGUGCUGUAUCUUGUCUUCAUUCUCAUGUUGAUUAAUUACUAGAUGUUGUCAGUCAUGUCUCCAAUGAAAACAGGAGUGAUAGGGCUUUCUGAGUCAGUUGAUGAAUGAAUCAUACUAAUUUUUAGCAGUUUUUUCAUAUAAUUUUGUCUCCAUCUUUUCAGUAUGUUGACCAAGUUCUUCUAGGUGGUAAAGUUUGUGUUCCAGGUAUAUUGAGUUUAUGUAUUUAUCAUGUAUGCACUAUUGUUAGGUGAAAACAUACUUCAACUUGAUGGGCAGCUAUUAUUCAGUAUUCAUGUAUACUAAUGUUGAUAUAUAUUAGAUACUGUGUUUUACUAUACCUACAAGGUUAUACAAAAUUCUUUUCUUUUACUCAUGAGUUCCAUUUGUUUGGAUUUUUGGUUUGUUUAGAUUUUUUUUCUUCGUGUGUUAAAAAAUAUAGUUUAAUGCUUUUCCUGGUACCUUGCCCUUUGUUGGCAUAAUUGGAAUAUAAAUCGUUCAAAUCUCCACAAUUAAGAGUUUCAGAAAUAUGUGAUACUGGCCACUUGACUUAAUAAAGACUAGAUAUACAAAACAGGUAGAAAAAAAAUACCUAUUUCCUCACUAAAAACAAUUGAAUAUUUUUCUUAUUAUUAGCAAAUAUUAGUAAUAGCAUAGACUAUGAAUAAUUUCUAUAUGUUUUGGCAAGCACAUAGUGAGACAAUGCUUAUUACAGUAAGUACGCAUUUCAGUUAACUAACUGGGCACUGUAAUUCCAAUAGGGCUGUAAUGCAUGGAAACUCACUCUUCAGAUUCCUUAGAGCUGUAACCUGAGACAGUUGAAGGGCCCAUAGUUCAUUUGGGAGGUGUAGAUAGUAGUGAAGCUGAGGAAGCCUGGAAAGGAAAGGUGUACAGAGGGUGUGCUGUCAAGCUGGCUAACACUGCAGGAUGCUAGAACUGUAUUUCCUUUGUGCUACUCUGGAAAAACUAGAACACACAAUUCAGACAUACCUCAUGUGAAGAAUUGGGAUACAGAACUAGUUUGGGGCAGUGGUAGCUAUCCUGUACAGUGAACAGUUCUUGGCAACUUGUGAUCAAGAGCUGUAGCUGGACAUGAUGGCACAUGCUUGCAGUUCCAGCACCUGAGAGGUAGAAUCAGGAAGACCAGGAGUUUAGGGGGAACCUGGGCUACAUGGACUGUGUCCAAAAAAAAAAAAAAAAAAAAAAAUAGAGAAGAGCAGUAGCUGAAGAUUGGUAGACCCAGACUAUCAUUAUAAUACCCACAUCGUCCCUUACAUGUAUACUUGACAGUCCAGCCUCGUAGUACAGUCAGAUGGCAUCCUGUGCGCUUGCACUGCAUGACUGUGUAGCCCACGCAGGCAGAGCCAGGCAAGACUGAAAGGCACAAUGAGAAGACAGUGCUGUGGUUCUGACCCUGGUGGUCUUUACUAUCCAUGUGACCAGGUCUCAUCUGUAAGAUCAGAAGAUGAAUCAGUACACACCACUCUCAGGUGUGUUUGCUCUGAAGCACAUUUGAGCUGAACUUUGCGCAGAAGAGAGGAGGAGGUGCCUUGUUUUACAAAGAGGGAGGUCUGUUUAAUCAGCAAGAUGGAAAAGAUUUCUUGGCAAUUUAAAUUUUCAAAGGCAAAAAGGACAGAUGUUGUCCAGUGAAAAUUAAAAACUUACCUAAAAGGCUUUUUUAAGUUUCUACUUGAACACAUAUUUCACAACUGCAGGUUUGGGCUUCUUUUUCCCUUAUGUUACAUCAUGAACAUGCCACAUGUUAACGUGUAUAAUAUACAAAGUAUGUAAUGUAAUGUAAAUUGAUAUUGUAUGACUGGUUAUAUCUACAUAUUAAUACUAAAUUAUGAAUGUAUAAUUGAUGUGAAAUAAAACACAUCCCUGAUAUUGAA